UCACCAUGCCCACCUAAUUUUUAUUUUUUGUAGAGAUGGGGCACUCACAUUUCCACCCACUUUCUCUUCAAGGCAAUCUAGGCUUAGUCUAUCAUGUGCCUCAAACUUCUUCCUCUGCCCAUCACCCCAAUCUAUUAAUAAAGGCACUUCCAUGUUUGUGUAUAUUAAUAUGGCAGCACCCCACUUUUCAGUACCAAAAUCUGUAUUUGUUUCCUAAGAUUGCAGCAGCAAAUUACCACCAACUGGGUGGCUUAAAACAAAAGAAAUGUAUUUUCUUACAGUUCUGGAGGCUGGAGUCCAAGAUCCAGGUGUUGGCAGGAUUGGUUCUUUCUGUGGGUUCUAACGGAGAGUCUGUUCCAUGCCUCUCUCCAAGAUCGUGGUGGUUGUUGGAAAUCCUUGGUAUUCCUGGCUUUGUAGAGGCAUCAGUCCAACCCCUGUCUUCUCCCCUGUGUGUGGCUUUUUCUCCACUCUUGCUAUAAGGACACUGGUCAUUGGAUUUAGGGCCCAUCCAAAUCCAAUUAUGACCUCAUCUUAAUUUGAUUACACCUGCAAGUUCUCUAUUUCCAAAUAGUCACAUUCAUAGGUACUUCGAGUUAAGACUCUAAUAUAUCUCUUAGGGGCCAGGUGUGGUGGCUCAGGCCUGUAAUCCCAGCACUUUAGGAGGCCAAGGCAGGAGGAUGACUUGAGGCCAAGGGUUUGAUACCAGCUUGGGCAACACAGUGAGACCCCCAUCUCUAUGAAAAAAAUUUAAAAAUUAGCCGGGGCCAGGCAUGGUGGCUCAUACCUGUAAUCCCAGCACUUUGGGAGGCCAAGGCAGGAGGAUGACUUGAAGCCAGGAGUUGGAAAACAGCCUGCUUACAUUAAAAUGCAAGUGGAAGGAGGUAAAUUGAGGUAGGAAUUGUUACUGGAUGGAAUGUCUUAACUGUGAGUUGUCCAAGUUCUUGGUGUAUUGAACAAAAAAUUGAACAAAACGCACUAACAAAGCAACAAAAGAACGGGCUAAUGAAGGCACAGAUUUAUUGAAGAAGCCGAAGUACAAUUCACAGGGUGGGAGCAGGCUUGAGCAAGUGGUUCAAGAGCCUCUUCAACUGGGGUUUUUAUUAAGCUAAAGGAACCAAGCAACUCCCCUCAGUGCCCUUUAGAGGACUCCAAUUGGCCACAGCCCAUGAAGGAUUGGCCUGUGACCAGAGGCUGACGUGGAGGCUUGGCACACAAUCAGAGGCUGAUGUGGAAACUUCUGUCUCAUUAUCACAGGAGCAAGGAUGUGGCCUGUGUGCUGCCCAGUUUUGCCUAGACCUGGCUGCACCUGCUGUUCUUUUGUUUCUGCCUUAACCCUUGAUGGCCUGAAUUCCCUAUUCUCCUGCCUCAGAAUUGUUAAGCAAAAAGGAACCAGGACUUGAUGAUUUGGAAAAUUCUCAGCCUAACUAUACUGCCAAGGAGGAGAAGUUCUGGCCUGAAGAGUGUGUCUGGACAAUAAUUUGCUAAAGAGAGUUGUGUGACUCAUGGAUCCACUCAACCGUGUCAGCGAAGCCAGGAAUAGAGUUGGGGUUAUCCAGGAAAGAUCCGUGGAGAACUUGAGAGUUCUAAUGGUGUGCAUCCCCGUGACAUCAACAGAAAACUGACAAGAUUUUUGAGAAUUUUAUACCAGCAGAAAUACUCCCAGCCUGGAUAGAAAGGGACAGAGACAGAACAAAUUGAAGGGAAAAUGACUGACUCCCAGGGCAGAGCCAUGGAUACAGAGGCCAGAGAGGACGAAGCUAUAGGUCCAGAGGCCCAGGCCAACUGCACCCCCUGGGCCCAGAGGCUGGAUCGAGUCAAAGGGUCAUUAAGGCCUUGAAAAUGAAUGUAGUUUUCCCUUUUGUGUUAAAACCUGUGUGAGACAGUGACCCCUUUAAUUCCUUGCAAAUUCUUUCAUAAUGGAAAUGUCUGUCCUGUGCUUGCCUCAUCGCAGUCCCUUUGUGCUGCUGUAACAGACAUCUGAUUAUUACUGGGUAAUUUAUAAGUAAUAGAAAUUUACUACUCACAGUUCUGGAGGCUUGGAAGUCCAUGAUCAAGGUGCCAGCAUUACAUGUCUGGUGAGGGCCUUCUUGCUACAUCCUCAUGUAGCAGAAGAGCAGAUGGGCAAAAGGGCACCUAAGCGGUUCCUUCCAGCCCUUUUGUAAGGCACCAAUCCAUCCAUGAGGGCAGAGCCCUCGUGGCCUCAUUUCCUAAGGGGCCCACCUCCUAAUACCACAACAAGUUUCAACAUGAAUUUUGGAGGGGACACAUUCAAACCAUUGCACCCACUGUUGUAUUUUGGAAGCAGAUAACUUGUUUCCUAGUUUCACAUGUCCACAGUUAGGAGAGGAAUUUUGCCCUAGAAUGUAUCAUAUCAUACCUAGAGUCUCAGUGAUACCUGGUUUGCAUGAUUUAGAUAAUGAGAUUCGCAAUGUUUUGAGUUGACUAUACUUAGAGAUUUUGGAUUUAUAGUUAAUGCUGAAACAGGAUUUUUGAGGAUGUUGGGAUAAGGCGAGUGUAUUUUGCAUGUGGGAUGAAUGUGAAUUUUAUGGGGCUAGAGGAUUGACUGUACUGGGUUGAAGUGUUCCCCCCAGAUUCACAUCCACCAAAACGUCAGAAUGGAACCUUGUUUGGAAACAGGGUCUUUGAAGGUGUGAUUAGUUAAGAUGACGUCACACUGGUGUACACUGGCCAUAAAUCCAAUAUGACUGGUGGUGUACUUAUAAGAAGAUGGACAAAAAGAUGGCCUCAGGAAAGUGGAGGUAGGAACUGGCGCACUGCAGCAAUGAGUUACGGAAUGCCACAGAUGCUAGCAACCCCCAGAAGCCAGAAAAGGGCAAGAAAGGGCCCUUCCCUGGAAUCUUGAGAGAGAGAGAGAGACAGCGCAGUAUGGUCCCGGCAACACCUCGAUUUCGGACUUCCAGCCUCUAGAAUUGUGAAACAAUCAAUCUGUUGUUUUAGGCCACUCAAUCUGUGGUACUUUGUUACAGCAACUCUAGAAAACUAAUACUCAUCCUGGAGGGAUGCACAUAGCUAAGACACUUCCUUCACUGAAAUCCUGAGACAGGUACAAAGUGUCAACAGAGCUUCUUCAGUGGGCACACAGAAAUGUUUGUACGCUCUGUAUCAGAAUAAGAAAAUGAUUACGAUAUAAACAGAAAGAUGCAAAAGACAACAGUAGAGUGUUCCUAAAAACCUUCAUAUGAUUUAUCCUGGGAUUGUGAAAGCUGAAGAUACCAGAAUAGUCACUUUUGUUGGACCCAGACAAAAUAGGGCCGGGAAGGAGGCACAUGCAUGCAUGUCGGAGGUAAGAACUGCUUCCAAGGACUUACUAAAAACUGCUUCACACGCUUCAUGCUUCUCCUGCUCUGAUAAGGUUUUUCAUUAAACAUUCUUUAGGACUGCAAUAAUUCAAACAAGACAUUCUCCAAAGGAUACCUGCUCAGUAACAGCAUCUCCGUCAAUGAACUGAUAACAACUCUGGCUUUGAACCUAUGGAACCCAUGGACUCUGUUUCUAAGCAGCUUAUGAAAAUCUUUUUUUGCUAAUAAAAGUUCCCCUUACACAGAACACACUGGAUGCUUGCCAUUAAUGCAUUACAGAUUGUAAUUUUUCUUUUAUCCCCAAGUAAACUCAACAUAUUUAGAGAGAAUUUUCUCUAGUGUUUUUGUUUUGUUUUUCAGACGGUCUCACUCAGUCACCCAGGCUGGAGUGCAAUGGCAUAAUCUCCGCUCAAUGUAACCUCCAUCUCCCAGGUUCAAGCGGUUCUCCUGCCUCAGCCUCCAGAGUAGCUGGGAAUACAGGUGCGUGCCAUCAUGCCUGGCUUUUUUUUUUUUUUUUUUUUUUUUUUGAGAAAGGGUCUCACUCUGUCACCCAGGCAGGAGUGCAGUGGCGCGAUCACUGCUCUCUGCAGCCUCAACCUCUCCCGCCCAAGUGAUCCUCCCACCUCAGCCUUUGAGUAGCUGGGACUACAGGCGCAUGCCAACACACCUGGCUACUUUUUGUAUUUUUUGUAGAGAUGGGUUUUCACCAUGUCAGCUCAAACUCCUCGGCUCAAGUGAGUCUCCCACUUCGGCCUCCGAAGUGCAGGGAUCACAGGUGUGAGCCACCACACCAGGCUAGGAAGUUCUUAAGUUCUUAAGUGUAAGACAUUAGUCCUACUUGCCCAGAGAAUGCCUUCAGACUCAUUAUAUGUUCCUCUACUUUAGAAGAUGAUGUGGUCUAUUCAACAAUGAUUCCCAAACCUAUCAACUCAAUUUCAUAAAUAGUGGGUCCAUAAUUAAGUGUAGAAUUGUACUAGAAAGUGUGAGGAAUUUAAAAAUGAUAAAAGUCUUUGCCCUGCUUUUAUGUUUUAGAUUUAGAGUGAUCACUCAGCCACAGGCUAAAGAGAAAUACUCCAUUCAAACCUUCUGGGGUCUUGGGGCUCAGGCACUGAAUUAUAAGCUCAAUUAAGAGAAAACUUGAGGUUAGCUCAAUGGUUCAAAAAUGCCAAAAGCAAACAUAAUCUUACUGACCACGGCUUAACCACUCUGUACAUUUAGGUAAUCCACUUCAAAAAUGUAGGCCAGCCCAGAAUAGAGAAGCAUGCAAAAGAAAAAAUUAAAAAAAAAAAAAAAAGUAAGCCAGAAGUAACCCAGCAGUUAGUAAACGUGCAUCAUGGUAUAAGCAUGUUACAGAGUGUGUGUGUUCAGUGAACACAGGAGAAGCAGAGGUAAACAAAGGCCAGCUUCUGGAGAAAAGACAGAAGUGGAAUCAAGUGUGGUGUGGGCAGGGGCGCAAUAGGGAAUUACAUCAAGGUUGCUAACCUGGGCGACUGAGAUAGAAUUAACUGGAGCAAGUGAUAGAUGAUAUGUUCAAGUAGCUGGAAAUACAUGUUGACUUUAGAAGAGAAACCUGGGCUGGAGACAGUCUGAAGCAUCCACAUGCAGACAGUGUCAAAGCCAGGGAAGCAGAUGACAUCACCCAGGGAGAGUAUACAUACUAUGAGAUGAAAUCAUGGGAUGUGCAGGCAGAGAACCAGAGAAUGAGACAAAGCUGAGAGAGAGAGGAGUGACACCAAGAGAGAAUAGUGUCUUUGAAGCCAGGGAAUGAAACAAAUUCAGUAACUAGCAGUGUUCAAGAUGCAAAUGCUGUAAGAUCAAGUAAGAAAGCUUGAAAAUGAACUUUUUUUUUUGUAGAGACGGGGUCUGGCUCUGUUGUCCAGGUUCGUCUCAAGCCAUCUUCCCACUUUGGCCUCCCAAAGUGUUGGGAUGGUACAGGCAUGAGCCACUGCACCUUGCCAGAAAUGAACUUCUAAAAGCACUAAUGAGGUAACUGAUGACCUUGGUAAGAAGGACAGUGAAGACAUGAGCCAAUUACUACCAUAUUGAAAAUACAAAGGCCAAGCAUGGUAGCUCAUGCCUAAUAAUCCCAGCACUUUGGGAGGCAGAGAUGGGAGGAUCCUUUGAGGCCAGGAGUUUAAGAUCAGCCUGAGCAACACAGCAAGAUCCCAUCUCUGCAAAAAUUAAAAAAGAAAAAAAGCCAGGCACGGUGGCAUGUACCUGUGGUCCCAGCUACUUGGGGAGGCUGAGGUGAGAGCAUCGUUUGAGCCCAGAUGGUAGAGGUUGCAGUGAGCUGUGAUCAUACCACUAUACUCUAGUCUGGCCUGGGUAAUAGAGCAAGACCCUAUCUCAAAAAGAUCUAGACAGUAAGACUGUGGAAUGCUCUUCCAACAUGUUUAGCAGAGAAGGGAAGGGGGAAAAUAAGGCCACAGCAUGACCGAGGUAAGGGGUAGGGAUUUUUUCAAGCAUGGUGGGUACUUCAGUAUGUAUAUAGGCCAGUGAUUUUCAAACUUGACUGUCAUCAGCACCACCUAGAGGGCUUCUUAAAAUUCAGAUUGUUGGGCUUCACCUGAACAAGUUUCUGAUUGAGUAGGUCUAGGGUGGAGCUCAAGAACUUACACUUCCAACAAGUGACAAUGCUGCCGGUCUGUGGACCAAAAUGGAGAGCCACUGGAGUAGGCGAAGAAAAAAAUAUCCAAAAGAAGAAUGUUUGAAACAUUUAUGCGAUGGAGAUAUUUAAAAGGCAAAACACAGAGGGAAGGAGAGGAUGGAAUUCAGAAAAAGAUAAAAUAGUUGGUCUUGAGCAACAAGUGAGGUGAUCUCUUCCUCUGAGACAGGCAGGCAGAUGAAGAUGUACAUGAUUAGAGGUAAAGUUUACAGGUGGAGAAAAGGCAAGUUAAGAGUUCAUGCCUGAAGGCCUUAUUUUCUCUGUUUAUUUUUUCAAAGCAAUAUCAUCUACUGAGAAUUUAGGAGAUAAGGUAGAGUAGGGGUAAAUAUUAAUAAUUAUACAUUUAGCAGCCAUGGGAAAACAACAUGUUAAAGUAUUCCCAAGUUCCACUUAUUUUUAAGACAGAGUCUCACUCUGUUCCCUAGACUGGAGUGCAGUGGCACAAUCACAGCUCACUGCAGCCUCAGCCUCCUGAGUAGCUGGGACUACAGGUUUGUGCAACCAACCACCGCUGGCUAAUUUUUACAUUUUUGUGGAGAUGGGGGCCUCACUAUGCUGCCCAGGCUGGUCUUGAACCUGGCUUCAAGUGAUCCUCCUGCUUCAGUCUCCUAAAGUGCUGGGAUUAGAGGUGUGAGCCACACCUCGACCAUCAACCACUGCUGAAGAAAAAUCUAAACAGUAUCAGUCUGGCUCAGUAAUUACAGCAUAAUAAAGGAAAAAAGGAAAUACUCUAUUUCCUUUAUUAUUAAGUAAAAUAGGAAGAAGCCAUUAACACUCAGAGAAGUCUUCUGUUAUUCUCUAGAUAAGUAGAGCAAAUCAAAGUUUGGAUCAGCGCUCCUGAAGUUAGGCCAUGACCAAUCCACAAAGCAAGCUGUUACUCAUUUUACGCACUCCAGGACAUCACUAUUAAAGAUUUCUAAGCUUGGGUUAUAUCCCUGCUCGGCACCAAUUUUAAGUGUACGCUGGAGAGAAGAGACCUGAAUAAAGGAUGCCAACUGUGAUUCCAGACCUUUACAAACUGCUGGUGACUGAUUCAAACCUGAGGCUACAAAUCCCUAAUCAUGAGACCUUAAAAUACCAAAAUACUUCUAUGCUACAGAUUAAGAGAUCAGUUACAUAACUAUAUCAGAGCAGGAGAUUUCUGUGUUGUUUUUAAUAAAUUCAGAUAUGGCAUAAUAAAUAUUAGGUAUAUAAACAUUAAGUGUGUUAGUAAACACACAAUAUGUUUAGUAAACACACUUAAUAUGUUUGUUUUGCUAUUUUGGCUCUGCAAUCAUAAUGACCUACCUAUCUCCAUAAAUUUUUUAAACUAUUGAAGCAACAAUUAAUAUAAGCUUCAUUUUUCAAAACAAGCUUUCCAGCCAUAUUUAAAAAAAA
rnacentral:lncRNA from 1 species